CGGGGGGGGCGGGCCUACACAUGCAGUCGAGCGGUAACAGGCCCUUCGGGGUGCUGACGAGCGGCGGACGGGUGAGUAACGCAUAGGAAUCUGCCCGGUAGUGGGGGAUAACCUGGGGAAACCCAGGCUAAUACCGCAUACGUCCUACGGGAGAAAGCGGGGUUUCGGCCUCGCGCUAUCGGAUGAGCCUAUGCCGGAUUAGCUGGUUGGUGAGGUAAUGGCUCACCAAGGCGACGAUCCGUAGCUGGUCUGAGAGGAUGAUCAGCCACAUCGGGACUGAGACACGGCCCGAACUCCUACGGGAGGCAGCAGUGGGGAAUAUUGGACAAUGGGGGCAACCCUGAUCCAGCCAUGCCGCGUGUGUGAAGAAGGCCCUCGGGUUGUAAAGCACUUUCAGCGAGGAAGAACGCCUAAUGGUUAAUACCCGUUAGGAAAGACAUCACUCGCAGAAGAAGCACCGGCUAACUCCGUGCCAGCAGCCGCGGUAAUACGGAGGGUGCAAGCGUUAAUCGGAAUUACUGGGCGUAAAGCGCGCGUAGGCGGCUUAAUAAGCCGGUUGUGAAAGCCCCGGGCUCAACCUGGGAACGGCAUCCGGAACUGUUAAGCUAGAGUGCAAGAGAGGAAGGUAGAAUUCCCGGUGUAGCGGUGAAAUGCGUAGAGAUCGGGAGGAAUACCAGUGGCGAAGGCGGCCUUCUGGACUGACACUGACGCUGAGGUGCGAAAGCGUGGGUAGCAAACAGGAUUAGAUACCCUGGUAGUCCACGCCGUAAACGAUGUCGACCAGCCGUUGGGUGCCUUGAGCACUUUGUGGCGAAAGUUAACGCGAUAAAUCGACCGCCUGGGGAGUACGGCCGUAAGGUUAAAACUCAAAUGAUUUGACGGGGCCCGCGCAAGCGCUGGAGCAUGUGGUUUAAUUCGAUGCAAGCGAAGAACCUUACCUACCCUUGACAUCCUGCUACCUGAAGAGAUUCCGGGUGCCUUCGGAGCGCAGAGACCGGUGCUGCAUGGCUGCGUCAGCUCGUGUAGUGAAAUAUUGGGCUAGAUCCCGUAAACGAGUCGCAUCCCUGGUC
rnacentral:rRNA from 1 species